AUGUUCAACAAAAAUGUCCUUUUAUACUUCCUAUCAUUGGUGGUUUGGGAAGACGGAAUGCAGCACCAAACAGAGCAGGAGCAAGAAUCAGAACUACUCAGUGCAGAGCAGUUUGGGCUAUUUGUUACUGCCCCAGUUCCUGCAGUGUCUGUCCUCGAGCAGUACUCUACGUCUAUCAGUUCUACUACCUUUGCUCACUUGGAGUCCUUUGGGAGGAAGGGAAACAACGAAACAGCCGUUUCUAGAGCAAAGCCUUGGGCCAACAUUUCCUUGAACUUCUCUUCUCUUCCAAUGGGACUUGGAUGCUGGAGUGGUUGCAUAAUGUCCGGUUCUUCUGGGGCGAGCCUGCCACCUGCACACCCGCCUGCCCGACCCGGUCCCGGUCCCCAAGCAGCCCUGCAGGACACUGAUUCCCUUCCUGACAGAGAAGCCAAGGUGCCUUCCCCUGUUGGGUGCGGAUCCCCACCGAGCAUCCUGUACCCCAAAGCCCAUGUCAGCGUCUGCUUCAGCGAGGCCUGCAGCAACCCCAGACCUUCUUCUGGACUCGCUCAUUCGACCCCUCAUUCAGCAGAUCUGGAUGGAGCCCUAACUGUGUGCAGACACUGCUCUGGGCCAUUGAAAUCUGGCUGCGGGAUGCCUGGGUGGCUCAGUGGUUGAGCACCUGCCUUCAGUCCAGGGUGUGAUCCGGGGUCCUGGGAUCCAGUCCCACAUCGGGCUCCCUGAAUGGAGCCUGCUUCUCCCUCUGCCUGUGUCUCUG
ensembl:lncRNA